UUCAUCUCACUACUCCUCUCUCUCUCACCACUUCCUCUGAAAAUCGGGAUUUCCAUGGCUUCUUCUUCAAGGUUUCUACUCCUGUCUCGUCUACACGAUUUAGCGGUUAAAUGAACUACUCGUAGAAAGUGUUGGACCCUGAUAACCUGGGUUACAUUGAGGCCGGUUAAUGGUUUCUUCGAUCAAGCAAGUAGAUCUGAAAUCUACAGAAAUCUGCACAGUCUAUUCGUAGCUUCUGGUUUGUGUUAACGAUGUUUGUAUGUGACUGUCUAACAGGUCUACAAUUUGGAGAUGCUGCUGCUGCAAGCGCCCAGCCAGUCGACGAAUCUGGGGAUGACCCAGAAUCGCAACCUCAGCCAAUUACUGAGCCAGAAGCUGGUUCUGACCAAAGAGCUCAACCCCAUCAAGCGAUAAUACCGGAAGGCGGCCUACUUCCUAGAGUACAAUUGGAAGCAAGUUUGGGCGCUGGCGCUCUGGGCUUCCAUCUGCGUCGGCCUCUUCACAUGGAAGUUCAUCCAGUACCGACGUUUUCUUCAUCAUUCUGUUCGUUGGUGAACUUGGUAAUUAAAGGAGGAAACUGGGGGCAUUUCGGUAGUUUUAAUUUUUGGCUUUUCUCUGUCAAGUACGGAUGGAAGAGACAAAGUAGAGAUGGAAGGGAUCAUGAAUCUUAUAGUGGUGAUGAUGUGUGUGUAAGGAGGACAUUUGCAUUGCUGGAAUCUCUAUAAUCUUUUUUUUUUUUUCUUUCUUCUUUCUUUUUGGGUUUGAAGAAGGAGAAGAAGAGUGCGAUAUAAAUGUGAACCAGGAUUACUUUGACCACAAGUGGACCAGGAUUGAUGAUUUGGCGGGCGGUGGGACAUUACUUUGACCACAAGUGGACCAGGAUGAUGUUGACUACAUCUCUUGAUCCACAGAAGUUUCGUCAUGGAGAUAAUAUGGAGGCUGGGAAUAGUUGGAUGCUAUAGUAAUUUUGGUGCUUUUGGGGUCACGAUGCUGGUGCUCAUGAUCAUUGCGUACAUAUUAGCCCAGCCUUGGUUCAGAAGGAACAAACUCAGGCUUCCGAAACCCCUCAAGAAGCUUAUUGGUUUCAAUGCCUUCUGGUACUCCCACCACCUAUUUGAUGCGAGCGCUUGAUUCGCGCCUUCAGGUCUGGCUAUAAGACAGUGAAGAUUUUGAAGGUUGCUGUCUAUCCAGGAUAUGUGCUGGCACUCCUCCAUMUGUCUAAACCCCAAGGAUUUGAGUACAGAAGUGGGCAAUAUAUCGUUGUCAACUGUUCCGUUGUUUCUUCUUUGCAAUGGCAUCCUUUCUCUAUUACACAGCCCCCGGAGAUGAUUAUCUGAGCAUUCUUAUUCGCACAUUAGGUGACUGGACAUCGCAGCUCAAAGCUGUAUUUGCUCAGGUUGUCGAGACUGUUGAUCGAUGGCCCCUAUGGAGCCCCGGCACAGGACUACAAAGAAUAUGGUGUCCUGCUCCUUGUUGGGCUGGGGAUCGGAGACACACCACUGAUCAGUAUAGCUAAAGACGUUUUGAACAACAUCAAGCAACAAAACGACGUUGAGGAAGGUGCCGUAGAAGUUGGAACCAAGGCCAACAAGAAGAAACCUUUUGCCAUGAAACGAGCCUACUUCUACUGGGUCACCCGUGAACAGGGCUCAUUUGAGUGGUUCCGGGGAAUACUGAAUGAGGUUAACGCACGUUGCUGUUAACCACUGAUACAUAUAAAAUUUGUAUUUCUUUUAGGAAUUAUAUGUUUAAAUACUUUGUAAGAUUUAUAAAAUUUGUAUUUCUUAAUAUAUAUUUUUCAUAGAUUAAUUGGUUCA